rnacentral:rRNA from 1 species
UACGGGGGGAGCAAGCGUUGUUCGGAUUUACUGGGCGUAAAGGGCGCGUAGGCGGCCAGCACAAGUCAGUUGUGAAAUCUCCGAGCUUAACUCGGAAAGGUCAACUGAUACUGUGCGGCUAGAGUGCGGAAGGGGCAACUGGAAUUCUUGGUGUAGCGGUGAAAUGCGUAGAUAUCAAGUGGAACACCAGUGGCGAAGGCGAGUCUCUGGACAUUUCCUGACGCUGAGGCACGAAAGCCAGGGGAGCAAACGGG